GACAUGUCAUUCUAUUACUAAUGUAUAAAUAAGGGGACUCCUUUGGGGGACUCGUCGGGACUGGUCUCUCCCUCUGGAUGCAUCUUGUGCUCCCCACCAGCAGACGGGCUGCCACUGUGCCACUCAAGAGCCACACUCAGCUUCGCACUACACAAUAAUUUGGAGAAGCGAGGUGAGAGCCCAAGACACUGAAAUGGAACAAAGUCCCUGGGUUUAGGAUGGCAGAUGAAUUGGAUGUUAUCCAUUACAGAUACAACAGCCAGCCAACUCCAAUUAAGAAUAUUGAUUUGCCCCUCAGAUGUGUGGAAAAGAUCAGCAAAGACAUACAGGGGACAGCUGAAGAAUGAAAACAAACUUGGAAGUGAUUAUGAACCAGCAGGAAAAUGAAGGUGAAGACAACUGAG